rnacentral:rRNA from 1 species
AUUGAACGCUGGCGGCAGGCCUAACACAUGCAAGUCGAGCGGAUGAAGGGAGCUUGCUCCUGGAUUCAGCGGCGGACGGGUGAGUAAUGCCUAGGAAUCUGCCUGGUAGUGGGGGAUAACGUCCGGAAACGGGCGCUAAUACCGCAUACGUCCUGAGGGAGAAAGUGGGGGAUCUUCGGACCUCACGCUAUCAGAUGAGCCUAGGUCGGAUUAGCUAGUUGGUGGGGUAAAGGCCUACCAAGGCGACGAUCCGUAACUGGUCUGAGAGGAUGAUCAGUCACACUGGAAAUGAGAAAGGGUCCAGACUCCUAGGGGAGGCAGCAGGGGGAAAAUUGGGAAAAUGGGGGAAAGCCUGAUCCAGCCAGGCGGGGGGUGGGAAGAAGGGCUUCGGUUGGUAAAGAACUUUAAGUGGGGAGGAAGGGCAGGAAGUUAAAACCUUGCUGUUUUGACGUUACCAAAAAAAAAAGAACCGGCAAACUUCGU